rnacentral:rRNA from 1 species
UACGUAGGUGGCGAGCGUUGUCCGGAAUUACUGGGCGUAAAGGGCGCGUAGGCGGCUUUUUAAGCCAGAUGUGAAAACCCGAGGCUUAACUUCGGGACUGCAUUUGAAACUGGAGGGCUUGAGUGCAGGAGAGGUAAGUGGAAUUCCUAGUGUAGCGGUGAAAUGCGUAGAUAUUAGGAGGAACACCAGUGGCGAAGGCGACUUACUGGACUGUAACUGACGCUGAGGCGCGAAAGCGUGGGGAGCAAACAGGAUUAGAUACCCUGGUAGUCCACGCUGUAAACGAUGGAUACUAGGUGUGGGAGGUAUCGACCCCUUCCGUGCCGCAGUAAACGCAAUAAGUAUCCCGCCUGGGGAGUACGGCCGCAAGGUUGAA